rnacentral:rRNA from 1 species
CAGAGGGUGCAAACGUUGUUCGGAAUUACUGGGCGUAAAGCGCGUGCAGGCGGCCUUGCAAGUCGGACGUGAAAUCCCACGGCUCAACCGUGGAAGUGCAUUCGAAACUGCGAGGCUGGAGUCCUGGAGAGGAAAGUGGAAUACUCGGUGUAGAGGUGAAAUUCGUAGAUAUCGAGUGGAACACCGGUGGCGAAGGCGGCUUUCUGGACAGAUACUGACGCUGAGACGCGAAAGCGUGGGGAGCAAACAGGAUUAGAUACCCUGGUAGUCCACGCCGUAAACGACUGAGUGCUAGGUGUCACGGGCUUUGACCCUCGUGGUGCCGAAGCUAACGCGUUAAGCACUCCGCCUGGGGAGUACGGCCGCAAGGCUA